rnacentral:rRNA from 1 species
UACGUAGGGUGCGAGCGUUUGUCCGGAAUUACUGGGCGUAAAGAGCUCGUAGGUGGUUUGUCGCGUUGUCCGUGAAAACUCACAACUCAAUUGUGGGCGUGCGGGCGAUACGGGCAGACUGGAGUACUGCAGGGGAGACUGGAAUUCCUGGUGUAGCGGUGGAAUGCGCAGAUAUCAGGAGGAACACCGGUGGCGAAGGCGGGGUCUCUGGGCAGUAACUGACGCUGAGGAGCGAAAGCGUGGGGAGCGAACAGG